rnacentral:tRNA from 1 species
GCGGGUGUAGCUCAGUUGGUAGAGUUUCUGCCUUCCAAGCAGACUGUCGUCGGUUCGAUCCCGAUCACCCGCUCCA